AGAGUUUGAUCAUGGCUCAGGACGAACGCUGGCGGCGUGCUUAACACAUGCAAGUGGAGCGACGAACCAGGGCUUGCCCUGGGGCAGAGCCGCGAACGGGUGAGUAACACGUGGGUUACCUGCCUCGAUGACUGGGACAACCCGAGGAAACUCGGGCUAAUACCGGAUGUGCCCGCAAGGGGAAAGGAAGCUUCGGCCUCCGCAUCGAGAUGGGCCCGCGGCCCAUUAGCUUGUUGGUGAGGUAACGGCUCACCAAGGCUCCGAUGGGUAGCUGGUCUGAGAGGACGAUCAGCCACACUGGGACUGAGACACGGCCCAGACUCCUACGGGAGGCAGCAGUGGGGAAUCUUUGCGCAAUGCGCGAAAGCGUGACGCAGCAACGCCGCGUGGGGGAAGAAGGCUUUCGGGUUGUAAACCCCUUUCAGUUGGGACGAAGCUUCGCCGAUGAAUAGCCCGCUGGAGUGACGGUACCUUCACAAGAAGCACCGGCUAACUACCGUGCCAGCAGCCGCGGUA
rnacentral:rRNA from 1 species